CUGUGGUGUAAACAUGAUGGUGAUCCGAAAUCUGAACGUCAAUUUUCAUGAUUAUUUCACGACGAAGAUCAUCACAUCAAUGAAUCAAAAAAUACGGACAUGCCUUUGGUAUUAGCAGGGUGCAGGCACCAUAUGCAACAAUAUACUUUCAUCUGUGAAUACCCACUUGCUAAGCCCACCAUGAACUACGAAGGCCAGUUAAUAUACUCUUUCCAAUUAUCGUACAUCAUAAUUAUACAUGGGUGGUCAAACUCAUUGGAUGGUUUAUCAACAAUCCCAUUCUCACGAACAGCCUUGCCCCAGGAAUUUUGCCCUGAAGUAACAUUUGCAGUCAAUUGUCUCCUUUCUUUUUACAACCUUGGCAGCCA